rnacentral:rRNA from 1 species
CAGCAGCCGCGGGAAUACGAAGGGUGCAAGCGUUACUCGGAAUUACUGGGCGUAAAGCGUGCGUAGGUGGUCGUUUAAGUCCGUUGUGAAAGCCCUGGGCUCAACCUGGGAACUGCAGUGGAUACUGGGCGACUAGAGUGUGGUAGAGGGUAGCGGAAUUCCUGGUGUAGCAGUGAAAUGCGUAGAGAUCAGGAGGAACAUCCAUGGCGAAGGCAGCUACCUGGACCAACACUGACACUGAGGCACGAAAGCGUGGGGAGCAAACAGGAUUAGAUACCCGGGUAGUCCCUGUCUCUUAUAC